GGAUGUAAGGGUGAUCUGGCUGUGGCGUCUGUCACCUCAUUGAUGAUCAGGGUUGGUACAGCUGACCUGGCUGUCUAGCGGUGUGCCCUUCCCCCCUCAGUGCUCCGUGUGCCUCCCUCCAGAAGCUGUGUGCUCCGUGGAAAAGGACGACCACCUCCGACAGAGGAGGACGUUUCCCGGUUAAGGGUGCAUGGGUAGUUGCGCUCCUCCGCUAGAACCUCCAAACAAGUUCUCAGGCAUGUAGAAACCUUCCUCGGCUUAUGUUUUUACAUUUAUUUUGUUGUAU
rnacentral:sRNA from 1 species